rnacentral:rRNA from 1 species
GGAACGCAGGAAGUCGGUGAAGGAUUCGGCGGUGCCGCUGGAGGAGUUAGGCUGACGGCUCCGGAGAGUAUCGGCGAGGGCGUUCUGCCAACGGCACCAUCACGCGGCGAGGAAAGCGCUGCUGCUGAACUACA